GUGCUCAGUUUGGCAGCACAUAUACUAAAAUUGGAAAAACAUAGAGAAUUACCAUGCCUCCUGCUCAAGGAUGACACACAGAUUCAUGAAGCAUUCCAUAUUUUU
ensembl:snRNA LOC120102583 U6 spliceosomal RNA